GCCGGGAAGAGCUAUAAUGCAGUCGACGAGCUUCCGUUGAAUGACGUGCUUGCACUGAUUUCAACAAUGAAGCGAGUGGCGAACUGGUGAGUAACACGUGGGAAAUCUGCCCAGAAGCAGGGGAUAACACUUGGAAACAGGUGCUAAUACCGUAUAACAACAAAAUCCGCAUGGAUUUUGUUUGAAAGGUGGCUUCGGCUAUCACUUCUGGAUGAUCCCGCGGCGUAUUAGUUAGUUGGUGAGGUAAAGGCCCACCAAGACGAUGAUACGUAGCCGACCUGAGAGGGUAAUCGGCCACAUUGGGACUGAGACACGGCCCAAACUCCUACGGGAGGCAGCAGUAGGGAAUCUUCCACAAUGGACGAAAGUCUGAUGGAGCAAUGCCGCGUGAGUGAAGAAGGGUUUCGGCUCGUAAAACUCUGUUGUUAAAGAAGAACACCUUUGAGAGUAACUGUUCAAGGGUUGACGGUAUUUAACCAGAAAGCCACGGCUAACUACGUGCCAGCAGCCGCGGUAAUACGUAGGUGGCAAGCGUUGUCCGGAUUUAUUGGGCGUAAAGCGAGCGCAGGCGGUUUUUUAAGUCUGAUGUGAAAGCCUUCGGCUUAACCGGAGAAGUGCAUCGGAAACUGGGAGACUUGAGUGCAGAAGAGGACAGUGGAACUCCAUGUGUAGCGGUGGAAUGCGUAGAUAUAUGGAAGAACACCAGUGGCGAAGGCGGCUGUCUAGUCUGUAACUGACGCUGAGGCUCGAAAGCAUGGGUAGCGAACAGGAUUAGAUACCCUGGUAGUCCAUGCCGUAAACGAUGAGUGCUAAGUGUUGGAGGGUUUCCGCCCUUCAGUGCUGCAGCUAACGCAUUAAGCACUCCGCCUGGGGAGUACGACCGCAAGGUUGAAACUCAAAGGAAUUGACGGGGGGCCCGCACAAGCGGUGGAGCAUGUGGGUUUAAUUCGAAGCUACGCGAAGAAACCUUACCAGGUCUUGACAUCUUUCUGCCAAUCUUAGAGAUAAGACGUUUCCCUUUCGGGGACAGAAAUGACAGGGUGGUGCAUGAAUGUCGUCAGCUCGUGUCGUGAGAUGGUUGGAUUAAGUCCCGCACGAGCCGCACCCUUAUUAUCAGCUGGCAGCAAUUCAGUUGGCCACUCUGAUGAGACCUGGGGACGACAACCGGAAGGAACGCUGCGAAUGGGC
rnacentral:rRNA from 1 species